UGCUCCUGGGGGCCGGGGAGGGCAAAAACGUUUUUUUUCUUACUUACCUCUUCAAAGUCUUGGUGCGUUUUAUAUACCAGUGUGUCUUAUAAUCUGAAAAAUACGGUAGUUGCUUUAAAAAAAAUCCAUGACUAAAAUUUACCCUGAAUGGAUGGAAAAAAUUGCUUAGCGCAUUGUAAGCCGCCCUGAGUCUCCGGAGAAGGGCGGCAUAUAAAUCAAAUUAAAAAAAAAACAAAAAAAAAACAAUUUCUUCACUAGGACAAAACCACUACCGCCCUCUUUAAAAAGGUGAAAUUGAAUAAUGGUAUGUAUUUGAAAUUGAAUGUUGCUUAAAGCUCAUGUGGCUAAAAUAUAGGAAUUGAUUUAUAAUAUAGGAAUAUUAAGGAGAAUUGAUUCUCUGUAAAGUUAUCAGCUCCAGAGAAAUAGAUGAUUUUAAUAUAAUUAUCAACUAUAAAUUUUGCAAUAUAAUGCCACAAAAUUCUUUAUUUUUUUUCAGAUUAGUAAACCAGUUUUGGUUUCCUAUAAUUUUCGUACGUUCUUGCUGUCAAACAAUAUUCUUAGUUGCAAAAUAAAUAAAUAAAUCAAACACUUUGUACUUAAUGGUGACUAGGCCAAGCUUCUUUUUUUUGUUGUUGUUGUUUUUGGUUUUGUUUUUUUUAACUAAAGUCACUAUUGCAUAUAAUUAACUAUUUCCCUCUCUUUCUUUGUUCUAGAAAGAUCCAGAAUAUCUUUUGGGCUUCCUUUCACAUGAGGCCAAAUAGGAAAUACAAGUUGGAGAAAAAGCUUUUUUAUCAGAUAAAACCCAGAGAUGAGGAAGAAAGAAAGAGAAGAACAAUGGAAUUUCAUCUGAUAUGCAUAGAUAAUCUGCUCAGAUUAUUCAGGAUGAAGCAAUGUAGUUCAGUGCAACUGUGAAAAUAUUAUCCAUGCUGGUCUGAUUAAUUUUCUAUUAUCUUUUAUUAGGUAAGUCUUAUCAUGCACAAUGUUUUAUCUUAUUUUCAGAAAGUACCAUGUUUAGGGUGAUUAAAUACUGCUUAUUUUAUUUAGCUAAAUUAAAAAUAUUUCAUUGAGUGUACAUCUCAGUAUAUGCUGCAUUACUGGGUUUUUAUGGAUAUAGAAGCGAGCUGCUGAGUAAUUAUGAAUAAGAUGUAGUGUAAGAGUUGGAAGCCCCAAUUAUCACAGUCCUCUCAACUGGGUCAAAUGAUUGUGGAAUAAAUAAACUAGCAAGACUCUGAAAUUUCAGUAAAUCAUGUUUUGUUGCUCUUCUCUCAAGAAAUAAAAAUUCUACGCUAUUGCAAUACAUUUCUAAAAUACACAUGUUUAAUUAAUUAGAUUUUUAAAAUUAACAAAGAACUUGACACAAAUCAGAAUGGGAGAUUGAAGGGAACAAUUUUAAGAAUAACCAUGUUUAUAGAAGUGAAAUGAAUGAAAGGAAAGGAAAUGAAAGAAAGAGAAGGUCUCUGGAAAUGUAUACAUUUAAACCAAAUGUUUUAACUGCCAUCAUCCAUCAAUUCUAUAAAACCAGUUGGUCUAUUGGUUAAGGCACCAGGAUAUAAACUAGAAGCUUGUGAGUUCUAGUCCUUAGAUAUAAAAGCUGACUAGAUGACUUUGGAUGAGUCAUUCUCUCUCAGCCAUGAUGUCAUCCUCAGGUGACAAGCCAGUCAAUCAAUUCCUGUCACAACCAACGGAACAAUACUCGGUGGAUUAAAAAAAAAAACCCAGACUCUGCACUUGAAGGAAAAAUGCAAGGAAGAAGAAAAUCUACUAAUUCUAUGAAGUCAAAUGAGUAAGAUGCUUAAGUACCAACAGUAUUAGGAAAAACAUUAAGAGAAAUCCAAGCACUUCCUUAACUAUAAUAAAGCAAAGACUGAAAGAAACACAAGAUCAUUUAACAAAAAGUGGAAGCAUUUUUUAUUACUCAACUUAUGUGGAUCAUUUCCGAUAAGAGAAUAAGAGGUAAGAUAAGAGGGUAAAAGACCCCACUUUCCUGCUGUCCCUUCUCUUGGUUUUUACUCUGUCUUAUUACUUUUAACUCUUUUUAUAUUUAUCUUUUUAUCAGUUUCUAAGUCAACAAGAGUUGUUUCAAUAGUGAGAUGGGUGGCACAUUUUAAAAAAGAAUUAAAAUUUCUACAUUAUCUAGUGAAACUCGCCCUAUGCCAAGUGCAUGGAAGGAAUGGCUAGGCCCAGCAGCCAUCCCUUUCCAAAGAAGUAAACAGGAAGAGGAAACACCAACUAUUCCAUUUCUGUCACAGAGACAUGAGCAUAUUUAGCCGUAAGGAUGAUACUCCAUCAUGUUCUGUGAUGCUGAACAUUUCUGGCAAGUUUUGUUUUUCAGGCGUUUUAAUGGUGAAAGGGGUUUUUUGCUUAAAGCUGGUUCAUAUUGGCAAAUACUGAAGAUGUUUAUUUUGGUAUUUUUGGAGAGAAAUGUACAACUGGCAUUGACCAAACUGCUACCUGCACUGCAGCAAAAUAGGAAAGGAUGGAAGCUGUCUAGUGUUAAUUCCUCUAUAUCUUCUUCACCCAGCUGAUUGCAGGCUAAUGAGCCGGAAAGCAUGUAAGCCAUGGAAAGUCACAGAUGCUUCUACUUCUUCCUUUUCCUUGCCCACCUUCCAUUAGCAUCACAAUAAUGCCUAGAGAGAAAGUGGAAACAGCUAUUUCUGCUUGUUUACUCUUCCUCACUCCCCCCCCCCCUUUGGAUAUUACAAUCACAGAGGGAACCACAAUUGCCUUUGGGGCUUUUAUUUUUGUUAAUCAAAGAUCCUUUAUGAUAGGGAAGUGGGAUAGGAAUAUCUGAAUAGUAUAUUUUCUUGAAUAAUUAUAUGCAUUACAGAAAAAAAUAACCUGUAAAUCCUCUUUUGCCCUACAGAUCUAUAUAAUCUGAGAUGAUGACUAUUUUAAUAUCUGACUACUCUCAUGGUACCAACUUUGUUAUUCUAGUCUAUCUCUUGAGGAUAGACAUCUCUUUCUGUGAACAUUUCCUUCACAGCUAUUCUACAUUCUGUAAUGAUAUAAAAUUGUCUUCCGAUUUUGGAAAGUCAGAGGAAAGCACUAGAUGGUGCAAAUAGCAAAUAUUGUCAGCAUUUCUUUGAAUAUCUGCAGUGAGGAAAAAUGCUGUUUUAUUUCACUCACUCUUGUAAGGAUUUCAUAAGAUAAGUAUGUUAUUAUAUUUAAACAGAAUAAAGAAUUGUAUAUGG